rnacentral:rRNA from 1 species
AUUGAACGCUGGCGGCGGGCCUAACACAUGCAAGUCGAGCGGAGCGGCGGACGAGUGAGUACUGCCUGGGAAUCUGCCUGUUAGUUAGGGAUCCCGUACGGGACCGUGCCCUCAUACCGCAUAAUUUCAAAUCCGCUUAGGUCGGAUUAGAUAGUUGGUCGUGUAAAGGCCUACAAAGGUGACGAUCCGUACCUGGUCUGAGAGGCUGAUCCGUCACACUGGAACUGAGACAAGGUCCAGACUCCUACGGGAGGCAGCAGUGGGGAAUAGUGGGCAAUGGACGAAAGUCUGAACCAGCAACGCCGCGUGUGUGAAGAAGGUUUUCGGAUCGUAAAGCACUGUAAUUUGAGAAGCGGUACCAAAAGAAAAAGCAACGGCUAACUACGUGCCAGCAGCCGCGGUAAUAC